rnacentral:rRNA from 1 species
AUGGGGAAACCCAGUGUGACUCGUCACACUAUCAUUAACUGAAUCCAUAGGUUAAUGAGGCGAACCGGGGGAACUGAAACAUCUAAGUACCCCGAGGAAAAGAAAUCAACCGAGAUUCCCCCAGUAGCGGCGAGCGAACGGGGAGGAGCCCAGAGCCUGAAUCAGCAUGUGUGUUAGUGGAAGCGUCUGGAAAGGCGCGCGAUACAGGGUGACAGCCCCGUACACAAAAGCGCAUGUGCUGUGAGCUCGAUGAGUAGGGCGGGACACGUGGUAUCCUGUCUGAAUAUGGGGGGACCAUCCUCCAAGGCUAAAUACUCCUGACUGACCGAUAGUGAACCAGUACCGUGAGGGAAAGGCGAAAAGAACCCCGGCGAGGGGAGUGAAAAAGAACCUGAAACCGUGUACGUACAAGCAGUGGGAGCCCCACCACUAAGCCAGUGGUGAACUCCACAUCCGCAUCCUUUGCUGAGGAUACGGUUAACGGAGCGAAAGCGACGUUCAACCGCAAAACAAGCAGAGGGGGCUUAGUGGUGGGGUGACUGCGUACCUUUUGUAUAAUGGGUCAGCGACUUAUAUUCUGUAGCAAGGUUAACCGUAUAGGGGAGCCGGAGGGAAACCGAGUCUUAAUUGGGCGUUAAGUUGCAGGGU